AUGUGACUUACCUUUUGUUGCCUCGGCAGAGGUUACCUGGUACCUGGAGACAGGUUACCCUGUAGCAGCUGCCGGUGGACUACUAAACUCUUGUUAUUUUAUGUAAUCUGAGCGUCUUAUUUUAAUAAGUCAAAACUUUCAACAACGGAUCUCUUGGUUCUGGCAUCGAUGAAGAACGCAGCGAAAUGCGAUAAGUAAUGUGAAUUGCAGAAUUCAGUGAAUCAUCGAAUCUUUGAACGCACAUUGCGCCCAUUAGUAUUCUAGUGGGCAUGCCUGUUCGAGCGUCAUUUCAACCCUUAAGCCUAGCUUAGUGUUGGGAAUUUACAGUUAUGUAAUUCCUGAAAUACAACGGCGGAUCUGUGGUAUCCUCUGAGCGUAGUAAAUUAUUUCUCGCUUUUGUCAGGUGCUGCAGCUCCCAGCCGCUAAACCCCCAAUUUUUUGUGGUUGACCUC
rnacentral:rRNA from 1 species